rnacentral:rRNA from 1 species
CAUACUUACGGGAGGCAGCAGUCGAGAAUCAUUCACAAUGGGGGAAACCCUGAUGGUGCGACGCCGCGUGGGGGAAUGAAGGUCUUCGGAUUGUAAACCCCUGUCAUGUGGGAGCAAAUUAAAAAGAUAGUACCACAAGAGGAAGAGACGGCUAACUCUGUGCCAGCAGCCGCGGUAAUACAGAGGUCUCAAGCGUUGUUCGGAAUCACUGGGCGUAAAGCGUGCGUAGGCUGCUUCGUAAGUCGUGUGUGAAGGGCGCGG